UUGAGAAGGGUGAUAGGAUGGGCACCCCACUGUGCUCUAAACUCUGUAUGGUUGGAGGACUCGAUCCCUUUGACUUUCCAUACUAACCUCUCACACUCCUGCCAGUUGCCCUACAUCACUGCUUUGGCUUAGAAGGUGUGUCCUUAAAGGCAGUUGUUCACGGGAGUGUUGGAAGUUUCAGAAGCAUGAAAAUCCUGGAUUUGUAAUCUACUGGCUCCUCAGGAACUUUUGGGAAACAAGAACCUGGAUUUUUCCAGUGUCUGGGACAGAUGAAUCACCAGGAAGAUGUAUUAUUAGUUCAGCAGGAUGGAAGCCCUAUUCUGAUUGACUUUGGUCAAGAAGAUGAGGUUCCUUCAACUUGUGCUAAGUCAGGGGCCACAGGCUACCAGCAGAUCCCUUUCUAGCUCUUUGCAGCAGAAACCAAGUUCCAGGCGUGAGGAGGAUGCUCUGCUGGUGCUGGGUAUGCAGUUACAGGAAUAUCAGCGUGUGCUGGAAUCAGAUACAUCCCUGUUGGCCUGAGAGGUCCAGACCUCCAGAACUGCGGCAAACUCAGAGCAAUAGAUAAACUGUCACGGACUAUAUCCAGGAUUCUGGAAAUAGGCAACUAUAAAAUGUAGAACCCUAGGAAGGUCUAUGGGGUGAGCAGAACUCAUUCCCAUCCUGGUGAAAUCACCACUAUACUGUGUGGCCUUAGUUUCUUCUUUAUUUUCCUAAAAAUAAGUUUCUUUAGCAUUCCUCCUGAUGAUAAUUAUGCAUGCUUAAUCUACACGAAUUUAAACAAAACAGAAAUA